UAUCGUGAAAACAAGGACCAACAAUCCUCAUCAGUUAAUUCUUUCAGAUGAUGAACAGGACCAGUGCACAUGUUUGAUAAUGCACCAUUGCUUGUAGUCACAAUGAUCUUGCUUCCCCUUACUCCACACCUCAAAGCAUACAGCCUUGUAAGGGAGACCCAUGCUUGAAGUUCAAAAUGGCAUCGCACUCUCUGGUCAUUGUAGAGAAAGCGAGCAAAGGUGGUUUUACCAACCCCAGCCAUACCCACAAUGCGAAUAAGACCUACAUCGUCUUCACUUGGAUCAUCGGAUAACAGCAGACUCAUCAUGGCAUCCUUAUCAGCCUCCCGACCAUAAAUAGCCGAUGCGUUAUCUUCUGGACGAGAAGUUGUCAGCAUUCCCCCUGCUGAUUGAUUCUCUCCCUUAGUAAUCGUCUCUUUAAACUCAACGUCAUCUAAUAUACCAUCCAAUUCAUCAAUCAUAGCCUCCAAAUUUUGCUCUACCGUCCGAGAAAGGAACAAUUCCCGCACCUGUUCGGGAGAGCCAGCUUCCAACUCGGAUCCCAGAGCAUUAUAAGUAAUUUCAUCCAACAAAUCUUCAGCGUCAUAACUAGCUUCUCUAAGCCGGUAAAGCCACCGUUUUCCACGUUCGUCAGUAAUCUGAUAAUCAUCAAGCACAGCUUUGGCAGCCCUCAUCUGGACAGACAGUCUCUCGAGCAGUACCUUCAGAGUUGAGCCCUUGAAGAAGUCAACAACAUUAUCACCCAUGUCAAGUACCAAAGCCUUAGCUAUUGACGCCACGAUAUCAGCCAUGGGUGGGUCUUCCUAUAUGAGAAAUAAACAAAGAAACAAAACUAUGAAAUCAAAGUCUGGGAAAGAAACACAAAGAGAGUCAGAAGAAGAAGAAGUUAAAGAACAUGUUUUUGUUGACGCGGAUCGAAUAUUUUUUUACCGGGCCAUUAUUGGACAGAGAUUAUAUAUAUAUUAUAUAAAUAAAUAAAUCUAAAAGUA